rnacentral:rRNA from 1 species
GACGAACGCUGGCGGCGUGCUUAACACAUGCAAGUCGAACGCAUAGCGUUGGAAGCUUGCUUCUAUCAAUCUAAGAGGCGAACGGGUGAGUAACGCGUAAUCAACCUGCUCUCCAGAGGGGGACAGCAGUUGGAAACGACUGCUCAUACGCCAUACGAUCUAACCUCGGCUUCGUGGAUAGAUGAAAGGUGGCCUCUACAUGUAAGCUACCACUGAAGGAGGGGAUUGCGUCUGAUUAGCUAGUUGGGGGGGUAACGGCCCACCAAGGCGAUGAUCAGUAGCCGGUCUGAGAGGAUGAACGGCCACAUUGGGACUGAGACACGGCCCAGACUCCUACGGGAGGCAGCAGUGGGGAAUCUUCCGCAAUGGACGAAAGUCUGACGGAGCAACGCCGCGUGAGUGAUGACGGCCUUCGGGUUGUAAAGCUCUGUUGUUCGGGACGAAAGGCCAUCUGGCGAAUAGUUAGAAGGAUUGACGGUACCGGAAUAGAAAGCCACGGCUAACUACGUG